UCUUCCGGUUCCGGGGGAAGUAUGGUUGCAAAGCUGAAACUUAAAGGAAUUGACGGAAGGGCACCACCAGGAGUGGAGCCUGCGGCUUAAUUUGACUCAACACGGGGAAACUCACCCGGCCCGGACACCGUAAGGAUUGACAGAUUGAUAGCUCUUUCAUGAUUCGGUGGUUGGUGGUGCAUGGCCGUUCUUAGUUCGUGGAUCGAUUUGUCUGGUUUAUUCUCGAUAACGAGCGAGACUCUAGCCUACUAAAUAGUAACGAGAUUGCCAUUGUCUUUUGGUUGCUUCUUAGAGGGAUUUUCGGUGUUUAGCCGCACGAGAUUGAGCAAUAACAGGUCUGUGAUGCCCUUAGAUGUCCGGGGCUGCACGCGCGCUACACUGGCGAAAUCAGCGUGCUGUAUCCAUUCUCGAAAGGGAUUGGUAAACCCAUGAAAAUUU
rnacentral:rRNA from 1 species